CUUUAUAUCUCACAUCUUCCACAACCCAAUCCACCCAGUAUUUUCAUAUACCCUUUUCUUGUCUUCAGCAAAUCCAUCUUUCUUUUUAUUUGCUUAGCAGACAAACAUGACUUCAAUGAGAUAUAUGAUAUUGUCUGUAUCAAUCCUAGUUCUCCUCUUAGCAUCCCACUUUCAUCCAACUUCAGCCCAUCCACAUGAACAUGAAGAUCAAAGAGUGUUGACAUCAGUUGGUAGAAGAAUUCUGAGCCUACCCACUGAAUUUGAUACUGAUAAUAGUAGCAAAAUUCGAGUUCAAAUCAAGAAAAGAAUGCGAUUUGUGCCCAGUUCUGGAGCCGGAACCGGCGCCGGUUCCAUCCGACCCAAAACAAGAUCUUCAGCAGCACCAACAACUACUAAUAGACAUGUUUCUUCUUCACUCCAUGUGUGCUCCCUUCUUCUUGGUUUCUUCUUUAUCUUAUUUCGCAGAUCGAAUAUCAUGAAUGAUGGCCUGGCAAUCCCAUGGAGGUAGCAAUUCAGAUACACUCAAAUCGAUGACAGACUUAUUAUCAAUUUCCAUAUGAACUUGCCUUAGAUUGAGGGUUUGAGAAAAGGCACAUGCCAGGUCAACCGCUUGGGCUUCACCUUGCAGGGUUGAUGCAACAUGAACAGUAGAGGUUUUUCCAUCCACCCACUUUCCUUCCCAGUUUCUGAUUCUGAGUAUGAUUGCCAAGGAUUCCUUAGACCCAUCUCUUGAAAAACUUGCAUCACAGUUAAGCUUAAACUGGACCCGAGUUGGAGGACUCCAUUUGCAAAUAGGAGAAUUUGUUGCCACGUUACUUGGCUGUCAAACACAAGGGUGAUUUUGAACAACAACUUCUCUCCAAUAGGACUUCGCUUGUUGCAGAGUUAGCGUGGGAUUUCAAAAUUAAAAAAUAUAUAUAUAUAAAUUAUAAGCAACUCUAUAAAUUGUAUCAAACAGCACCAAUGACUGGUAAUUUUUUUGGUACAAUUCAUUCUAGGUUUAUUUCAAUCUUUCAGAUCUAUAUUGCCUACAAGAAAUUUAUAUUGGCUAUGUGAAUGGGAGGUCACAAUUUAUUUCUUCCACAAACUAGAUUUGGGUAGUGAUGAUAAUGAGGAAUUGGUUUUGAGAGCUGUAGCUUCAAUGGGUAGGUUAAAUUUUAUUUCAUUGAUUUAUUUGUUUAUAACCAAGCUAACAUGUUUCACAUUAAUAGUACUUUUGAUUUAUAUUGCUAAUUUUCAUAAAAGGUUUAUUUAUUUGAUUAUUAGAAUUUUAUGAUUCAUUAUUUGAUUUUAUGAUCACUUUUUCCACUUUUAUUUUCAAGUACUUGUUGUACGGAGGAUUACAGUUUUUAUAUUUGAUGUUCUAACCCUGUUGAAUUGUCUUUAUUUGAUAAAUUUUUGAUAGUUGAAGGUUAAGGAAGCAUUUGGAUAUUGGGUAGGCUUGGGCGGGUUUGGACUGGGCUCAUAUUAUAUACAAAAUCAUUUUCCAAGCCUAGCUUGGUCUGGGAUAGGGCCAAUUUUUUUUAUUUUUAUUUUUGAGCUCAUCCAAAAAUAAAAUAAAAAAUCUUAAACUUGUUCACGUAGCUCGGAUAUUAUUUAAUAUAAAUAUAUUUUUUCAUAUUUUAAAAUAAAAAAUUAUAAUUAAUUUGACAAUAUGAGUGUCGUUCAAGGUUAGUAGUUUAAAUUUUGUAACUAAUUCGUUUCAUAAUACUACAUAAUUUAUGCUAAUAAAAAAUGAAGUUAAAAGUGAACACAUACAUAUAAUAUAUUAUAUAAUAUAGUUUGUGGAUGAGCUUGCCAGGCUACGCUUAAAUAUAUAUAUAUAUAUAUAUUUUCCA